rnacentral:lncRNA from 1 species
AGGAAGGAAGGAAGCUAGCUUAACUUGGCUCACAGUUCCAGGGUGCAUUUAUGGGAAAGAGGCCAUGGCAGCAGGAGCAUGAGCCAGCCAGCCAUAUCGCACCUGCAGGCAGGAUGCAGAGGGAAACAAUGCUGGUGCCCACUGCCUCCUUUUUAUUUUGUCUUGGACCCUACCCCAUGGGAUGGUGCCACCCACAAUCCAGGAUGGCUCUUUGCUGUUCUGUAAAAACCUUUCUGGACACGUCUUCAUAGAUACACUCAGGGAUGUGUUUCUAUGGUGAUCCUAAAUCCAGUUAAGUUGACAGUCACGAUUAACCGUCACGGCCUUGAAUCAGAGAGACUUAUGGGAAUCCGGGGCACAGUCUCAGAUGCAGGGUCCUGAGGAGAAAGGCCAGCAGGCUGGGCUCCUCACUGAGUAACAGCUUGAGCUGUUGAUAACCACUACAGAAUCACAAUUUCACUGGCUCCAUGAGGCCCCGAGAGGGUGUUCACAAAGGAGCCUCCAGCUUCUUGCCCUAUUCACCCCGCUCCCUCGCACCUCAGGCUUGGAAAUAAACAGUCCUCUCUGCUGGAAGGAAUUUUCCUAUUUACCAUAAGGCUGAGUACACAUACACACCCUUCCUGGCUCGCAGCCCUGGUGGAGCAGACCUGCAGAUGACAGGUAGUUAAUAGUGACAGCUGGGAGAAGCCUGGGCAGCAGGAGCUGACAGUUUUGAGGUUGUUUGCAAAACACAGGGGGAGGGUAACCCAGUUCCAAUGUAAAGCAAGUCUGAGGGUGUAGCCCUUGUCAGGGAGCUGCAGCUGCGUCUUGGCUGAGGGUUGCAAGGCGUCCUGGUGGGCUCGGUAGCCCCUCCAGCGCCUGUCCAGUCUCCCGGAGGAAAAAUGACGCCUCACCUGCUUUUCCUCACUCCCGUCAUUAUGGGAAAUUGCAAGGCUCCCUGGUGACUCCGAAGGAGAAGAUUGAUUUGUUGCUUCUGAUUGUCACUGUGCUAAUGUGACAGGGUGAUGGGCACCCAGAUUCACGCCUAGUAAUGGCCCUGCCAGAGGUGGAUGUUAACACAAUUGGGACCCGACACUUCAAUAAAUCGGGGACAUUCUACCACAGAGAUCAGAGUUCAGAAUUGCUUAAAUUGGUGUUGAAGCAGGUGGGGAAGAGGAGUCCAGGGGCCAUGAAUUUCAUGGUUGGCAAUUGACUUUCAUUUUGGAAGGCCUGACUGUCAGCUUUUCCAGUCUAUGACAUCAAUUGAAGUCAUUUGGACUCCUGGCUACCUAGCCCUUUCAGGAUUGCUGGUUCUGGGAAUUGUGAUUCAUGGUGUUCUUGUGUGAAAAAAAAAAAAUCUAACAGCCUCUUCUGAACCUCUGGGGUUGGAAGAUUGUGUUUGAUGGGGAGGAUGGAGGGAGUGUGAAUGACAGAUUCCGCUCCUGCCUGGUGCGCUGAUCCCUCCCAAGCCACCCUUCUUGCCCAGACCUCUUACCUUAGGGCCUCUUGCCUUAACUUGCAGGUUCAUUAACCUGGGUGUCAUGAUACUGUCAUGCAGUAGUACCUUGUCUUCACGUAGCUUCUCGUGAGGUGGGAAUGCACAUUUUAGGUCUCUGCUGGGAGUUGAAAGCCAGAGGAAAGACUGGUCCCUAUAGAGGAAUGGUAAUU